GCUGUUGUAGCUCAGGGGUAGAGCACUUCAUUGGUAAUGAAGAGGUCGGGAGUUCAAAUCUCCCCAACAGCACCA
rnacentral:tRNA from 1 species